UUUUGGAAGACAAGAAGCAAUGAUGUCCUGAUUUGCUGAGGUUUGUUUUGUGGCCUAACAUCUGAUCUACCCUGAAGUGGGAUGUUCUGUGACUAUCUGCAUGAACUUUUUGAUGUACAAUGAAUGUAUGAAGAAAAGAAUGUUAAUGGAAUUAGUUUUUACUGCUAAAGAUUUAGGAAGAGUUUUACAUGGAGAGAUUUCUGCGACACUAUACGAAGAAUUGAAUUGAACUGAAUCUUCAGUGAUAUUCCACACAUCAGUGAGAAGAAACUCAGCAAAGAACAGCUGAUGCACUGCAAUACGAAUGUUAAAUGAAUUCCUGUUUUAAUUUUAAAUG
rnacentral:lncRNA from 10 species